CUCAAACCCAGCUCAGCCUCACACCCCAGCCCGGGGCCUUUGCAAACAUCAUGGACACUUUAACCUUGUAGGACAUCCUAUCCCAAGCUGUGGAGCUUUGCAGGAUGAUCCUGGCUGGAAGCAGAAGCAGGUGGCUUCAUUGCGCCAGACAGCCCCACCGUAGCCUGGGCCCUGAGCUUCUGCCUACCAGGCUGUCAGCAACAUCUCAGCAACAGGCUCCAGCCAGUUGGCACAUACCUGGCUCAGCUCUACAGGUAGCAGUGAUGCUUUUAGGACCUCGUUUGUUAUUUUUCAGACCUAACCUCAUUGCUCUGCACUUCAGGGGCUGAAAUGCAACUCCCUGUGGGGCCCAAGGGGACUUUUGGCCUCUCUGCAGCCUGCUGGUCCCUGGAGGAUCUACCUCGUGCUGCUCACCCAAACCCUGCACGGCUGGCAAAUCCCUUCUGGGUUUUGUUUGAG
rnacentral:lncRNA from 10 species